rnacentral:rRNA from 1 species
GAUGAACGCUGGCGGCGUGCCUAAUACAUGCAAGUCGAGCGAAUGGAUUAAGAGCUUGCUCUUAUGAAGUUAGCGGCGGACGGGUGAGUAACACGUGGGUAACCUGCCCAUAAGACUGGGAUAACUCCGGGAAACCGGCGCUAAUACCGGAUAAUAUUUUGAACUGCAUGGGUCAAAAUUGAAAGGCGGCUUCGGCUGUCACUUAUGGAUGGACCCGCGUCGCAUUAGCUAGUUGGUGAGGUAACGGCUCACCAAGGCAACGAUGCGUAGCCGACCAGAGAGGGUGAUCGGCCACACUGGGACUGAGACACGGCCCAGACUCCUACGGGAGGCAGCAGUAGGGAAUCUUCCGCAAUGGACGAAUGUCCGACGGAGCAACGCCGCGUGAGUGAUGAAGGCUUUCGGGUCGUAAAACUCUGUUGUUAGGGAAGAACAAGUGCUAGUUGAAUAAGCUGGCACCUUGACGGUACCUAACCAGAAAGCCACGGCUAACUACGUGCCAGCCGCCGCGGUAA